rnacentral:misc_RNA from 1 species
AAACUGGUGAUAUAUUUAACUAUGAAAUUGAUGCAGCAUUCAUGAAAGAAAUAGCAGAAACAUUUUUUUCAUUUUAGACACUAGCAUAACAGUUCGCUAGACUGCUCCUCGAAGCACAAGUCGGCCAGACCAAUCAAGGCCUCAGCUGCCUUCCCAUCCCCGAAACCUCUCAGCGCUGAUCCCACCCGAACCCUAAACUCCUCUGCCUCAUCCUUUUCUCUGGCCCUAUGCAUCAUCCCUACAUACAUUCCGCACCUCCGAAGCACCUCGACCGCCUCAUCGCUCCCGCCACCCAGUAUCGCCCCGCAAGCUGCCCCACACG